rnacentral:rRNA from 1 species
CCUACGGGUGGCAGCAGUGGGGAAUAUUGCACAAUGGGGGCAACCCUGAUGCAGCGACGCCGCGUGAGUGAAGAAGUAUUUCGGUAUGUAAAGCUCUAUCAGCAGGGAAGAAACCCACCCUCCGGGGUGGCUGACGCUCCCUGACUAAGAAGCCCCGGCUAGCUACGUGCCUGCAGCCGCGGUAAUACGUAGGGGGCAAGCGUUAUCCGGAUUUACUGGGUGGAAAGGGAGCGCAGGUGGCAAUGCAAGUCAGAUGUGAAAACCCGGGGCCCAACCCCGGGAGUGCAUUUGAAACUGUCUGGCUAGAGUGCAGGAGAGGUAAGUGGAAUUCCUAGUGUAGCGGUGAAAUGCAUAGAUAUUAGGAGGAACACCAGUGGCGAAGGCGGCUUACUGGACUGUAACUGACGCUGAGGCUCGAAAGCGUGGGGAGCAAACAGGAUUAGAUACCCGGGUAGUC